rnacentral:rRNA from 1 species
UACAGAGGGGGCAAGCGUUGUUCGGAAUUACUGGGCGUAAAGGGCGCGUAGGCGGCCACCUAAGUCAGACGUGAAAUCCCUCGGCUCAACCGGGGAACUGCGUCUGAUACUGGUUGGCUUGAGUGCAGGAGAGGAACGCGGAAUUCCAGGUGUAGCGGUGAAAUGCGUAGAUAUCUGGAGGAACACCGGUGGCGAAGGCGGCGUUCUGGACUGCAACUGACACUGAGGAACGAAAGCCAGGGGAGCAAACGGG